AUUGAACGCUGGCGGCAUGCCUUACACAUGCAAGUCGAACGGUAACGGGCCUUCGGGUGCCGACGAGUGGCGAACGGGUGAGUAAUACAUCGGAACGUGCCCGAUCGUGGGGGAUAACGAGGCGAAAGCUUUGCUAAUACCGCAUACGAUCUACGGAUGAAAGCAGGGGACCGCAAGGCCUUGCGCGGACGGAGCGGCCGAUGGCAGAUUAGGUAGUUGGUGGGAUAAAAGCUUACCAAGCAGACGAUCUGUAGCUGGUCUGAGAGGAUGAUCAGCCGCACUGGGACUGAGACACGGCCCAGACUCCUACGGGAGGCAGCAGUGGGGAAUUUUGGACAAUGGGCGCAAGCCUGAUCCAGCCAUGCCGCGUGCAGGAUGAAGGCCUUCGGGUUGUAAACUGCUUUUGUACGGAACGAAAAGCCUUCUUUUAAUACAGGAGGGUCAUGACGGUACCGUAAGAAUAAGCACCGGCUAACUACGUG
rnacentral:rRNA from 1 species